AGAGUCGGCGCUCCCGCAGGGGCCUCCGAGUGCGGGGAGGCCGCGGGGCCCGGGUCACGGCACUAAGGGGGGAUGGGGUGCAAGCGAGCAAGCGAGGUCUGCGGAGCGGGCCGUGGAAGGGCUCCGGGACCCGCUGAAACCAUCUGAACCCAGCCAGGGGGCAGCGGGCAAGAGAAAAGGGACAGAAUAUCUAAUGAAGCAGAAACUGGAAUUCGGUGGGAGAGGUGAAGAGCUCUUGCUGGGGGUACACCUGCGAGGAGCACAGAAAACGGGCGGCGGAUGGCGGGGAGACUCCACGGAGGUGGAAGAGAGGAGCCAGGCCCGGAAGAACAGGGAAGGGGAUGCCACCUGGGGCAGAGGAGGCGCCAGUGCAGCCUCUACCUGCAGGCGGGCGGGACGGGCAGCUCAGGUGUGACUGGGAGGAGGGGGCCGACUGGGGAAGGGGCCGGGAAGAGCUGAGGGCGCACUAGGCGCCGCGCAGAGGCGCCUUUGAGUCGGCAGCCGCGGAGCCAGCGCACGGGCAUCGGCGGGACCCGGCGGACGGAAAGGCGGAGUGGGGGUCUUUGGACUGCACGACUAUAAUUUCAUGUGUGUGAAAUUCAAGGGGAAAAAGGAAACAAUACAUAAUCCAGUCUGUAGCUUCUCAUGGAUCGUGCAAAGCACCACCAGGACAGACAUCUCAAGCACAUUUGAAGAGCUCCUGUUUCCUAAGUAAGACAGCAGCAGCAAGACUGCAAUCAUUUCUGGGAAGGCAGUAUCAUCAUAAUGCAAUAUUAGCUACUGUGAUCUUCUAUCAUUUCCUUCCUGGAGAGUUAUGACUGUGGCAUUGAAGAUUUAAGACCUACAGCCUCAACACUACUUACUACAAAUCUCUCACAAAGCUGCUGCAAUAAAUCUCGUGGAGGAAAGUCAUUGCAUAAAAAAAUCCUCAACUCCAGGGAGUUGGCCAUUUAUUUUCCUAGAAAAGGGGCUGUGAUGAGAGACACUCCAUGCUCCUUUAACUCCAUGGAACAGAACCCAACAAAACAUUCAUCAUGGAAAGUUGACUGAUGGGCCCAGUGAGACUAGCUGGGGAAGGAAGAUGGAAAGAGAAGUGCCCCAUCCAAGGCCUGCUCCUUUUCCUAGCUGCAGCCCGGAGGGAUUUCCUCUUAGCUUGAGGAUUGACUUUCCAUAGAAUCAGCACCACUGAGGGUAAGCUUCCCUGAAGACAAACUCUGUCAUUGGAGAGCUCAGCCAGGGGUCUAAAACUGGACCCUAUGGACUCCACAGAUUUAUUUAGUCUGCACAGUGUUUAAAAAUGUUUUUAGUUAGGGCCAGGCAUGGUGGCUCCCACCUGUAAUCCCAGCACUUUGAGAGGCCGAGGUGGGUGGAUCACCUAAGGUCAGGAGUUUGAGACCAGCCUGCCUGACAUGGCAAAACCCAGUCUCUACUAAAAAUACAAAAAUUAGCUGGGCAUGGUUGCUCAGGCCUGUAAUCUCAGAUACUUGGGAGGCUGAGGCACAAGAAUCACUUGAACCUGGGAGGCGGAGGUUGCAGUGAGCCAAGAUCGCACCAUUGCACUCCAGCUUGGGUGACAAGAGUGAAACUCCAUCUCAAAAAAAAAAAAAAAAGUUUCUAGUUAGUUCCCAACAUAAAAAAUUAACAAUUUUGCAAAGAAAGAUAAAAUCCAGAUUUUGGGCUCCCCUAAACAAAUUGGGAUAUCUGAAAACAGUGGGCCACAUUCCUACAUUCCUGCCCCUGUUGACAGUAUGCGCCUGCUCUAAUUUUACUUCCCCUUUUACCCUAACUGCCCUGUAGGGAAUGGAGUUUGCAAUCCCCAUACUAAUCCAUCACCCUGCAGGUCCAUUCCCCUCCUCCCUGACCUCUGUUCUGAUAAGGGGUGAGAGAAUGAACCCCCAUAUGUAUUGAAUGGAAAAUACAUGUAUUGGCCAGGCACAGCGGCUCACACUUGUAAUCCCAGCACUUUGGGAGGCCAAGAUGGGCAGAUCACCUGAGGUCAGGAGUUCAAGACCAGCCUGGCCAAUAUGGCGAAACCGUGUUUCUACUAAAAAUAAUUUAAAAACAAAAUUAGCCAGACAUGAUGGCAGGCGCCUAUAAUCCCAACUACUCAGGAGGCUGGGGCAGGAGAAUCGUUUGAACCCAGGAGGCGGAGGCUGCAGUGAGCCAAGAUCGCACCAUGGCACACCAGCCUGGGCAACAAGACUGAAACUCCAUCUCAAAAAAAAUAAAAAUAAAAAUACAUGUAUUGAUGAGAAAAUACAACUGACUAAUCCCACCUAAACCAUGACCUCAUAUAAAUUCAGAAGAUCUUUCUAACAUGGCAGGGAGGCAGCCUAGUAUAAAGCAAAGAGCACAUGCUUUGCGAAUGUAAACCAAAAAUAAAAGUUGAAGGCCCUCCUCACCAUAUGAAUGGUCUCCUUCCUUUGCCAGGGCACCCUAAAAUUUAACUGGUUGAGGCCAUGAUGGGUAGUAGGGGUUGGACAUGCCUCAUUAUACCCUUCCAGCAGUAACAUCAACACAGACUUUAAGUCUGAUAAGAAACAUUUACAGUCUAUUUUCUCUAAAGCCUGCUACUUGGAGAUAUAAAACCUAGGUCUCCACAACCCCUAUUGUAACCCAGCCAUUUCUUUCUAAUGAUAAUAAGUCUUUCAACCAAUUGCCAAUCAGAAUAUGUUUAAAUCUUCCUAUGACCUAGAAGCACCCCACUCUUUGAGUUGUCCCACCCUUCCAGAUUGAACCAAUGUAAAUGGUUCAAUUGAUUGAUGUGUUAUAUCUCCCUAAAGUGUAUAAAAGGAAGCUGUACCUCAACCAUCUUGGGCACGCGUCUUCAGGAACUCCUGAGUCUGUGUCACAGGUGUGUCCUUAACCUUGGCAAAGUAAACUUUCCAUUACUUAUAAUGGCAAAAACUGCAAUUACUUUUGCACCAACCUAAUAAAUGGAUUGAGACUUGCCUCAGAUACUUAUUGGUUUAUACCUAGAGGCAGACCUUGGCUCAAAUCCCAUCUCUCCCUUACUCUGGGAUAUUGUCCAACUUGCUCAGCCUCUUGAAACCUACUUUGCUUACAGCAAAAUGGGUAUAAGGGGAUCUUUCACCCAAGCCUUUUGUGAGGACUAAAUGUGGUAAUGGACAUUAAGUGCCAGACCCCUUGAAUGUGCCAUCUUCUCUCAGCUUCUAUAAUGUCAUGCUGUCAGUUCCCUCCUUUUCUUUUUUUCUUUUCUUUUCUUUUUUUUUUUUUUUUUUGAGACGGAGUCUUGCUCUGUCCCCCAGGCUGGAGUGCAGUGGCACGAUCUCGGCUCACUGCAAGCUCCGCCUCCCGGGUUCACGCCAUUCUCCUGCCUCAGCCUUCCGAGUAGCUGGGACUACAGGCGUCCGUCACCGCGCCUGGCUAAUUGUUUUUGUAUUUUUCUUAGAGACUGGGUUUCACAGUGGUCUCGAUCUCCUGACCUCGUGGUCCGCCCGCCUCGGCCUCCCAAAGUGCUGGGAUUACAGGUGUGAGCCACCGCGCCCAGCCUAGUUCCCUCCUUUUCAUGGCUUCUUUGCUUCAUCUUUUCUGUCUCCUUUGAAGGUAUGCCUUCCUGGAAUAUACCAUAAAUGUCAGUGUUCCUCAGGAUUCUAUCUUGACCUGACUCCCCCGACCCAACUGCUAGCUUUUCCCUCUGUCUAAUGCUGGUACAGAUACAUAAACUGAUAGGUAGAUUACAACACAAUUCGAUUUUCUGUUUUGCUUUUUUUUUUGGCUUAUUAUUACAUAAACUUUUUUUCAUUGCUGCCAUACAUUCUUCAAAAUAAACACUUCGGGGGGCGAGCUGGCCCAGCACUUUGGGAGGCCAAGGAGGUGGAUCACUUCAGGUCAGGAGUUCGAGACCAGCCUGACCAACAUGGUGAAACCCCCAUCUCUACUAAAAAUACAAAAAUUAGCCGGGUGUUGGUGCAAGCACCUGUAAUCUCAACUGCUCGGGAGGCUGAGGCAUGAAAAUCACUUGAACCCGCGAGGCAGAGGUUGCAGUGAGCCAAUAUAGUACCACUGUACUCCAGCCUGGGCAACAGAGCUGCGAGACCUUGUCUCAAACAAAACAAAACAAAACAAAAUAAACACUUCAUGGCUGAACAAUAUGCCAUUUCCUGAAUAGAUUGUAAUUUACCUAAUCAUUUCUCUAAUAGUGGACACUUAGGUUGUUCUAAUUUUGAAAGGCAGGAAUACCAAGAAUGUUUUCUUGCACAUGGCAGAUUAUUUCUCAGUAUAGGCUCAUCCUUUCGAGUAUAUGGCAUCUUUUCUUCUUUCCCUCCUCUCUCUCCUCAGAAGUACUCAAGGCCCCGGAGAUACUUUGGCUGUAUCCCCACCAAUCUCAUCUUGAAUUGUAGCUCCCAUGAUUCCCAUGUAUCCUGAGAGGGACCCAGUGGGAGGUAAUUGAAUCAUGGGGGCAGGUCUUUCCCGUGCUGUUCUAGAGAUAGUGAAUGAGUCUCACAAGAUCUGAUGGUUUUAUAAAGGGCGGUUCCCCUACACAAGUUCUCUCUUGCCUGCCACUUUGCUCCUCAUUUGCUCUCUGCCAUGACUGUGAGCCCUCCCCAGCCAUAUGCAACUGUGAGUCAAUUAAACCUCUUUUCUUAAUAAAUUACCCAGUCUCUGGUAUGUCUGUAUUAGCAGUGUGAGACAGACUAAUACAGCCCUUAUGUGUCCAGAAGUACUGACUUUCUUGGAUGAUACCUUAAGUAAAGCCUAAUAAAGCUUUAGUGACUGAUACAUUUUUAAAAAUGAAGUAAUUAUUUAUGUGUAAUGAGACAAAUUAUUUAUUUCAGAGUGUUAUUUGCCUUACUCUCUUCCCCCAGCAAAAGGAGUCCUCAAGUGGCCAGCCACAUUUUCUCAUUUCUCCUUUCUUCAAAAACUGAUGGGAUCUUGCUUGAUGAAGUCACAUAACAAGUGAAUACAGCAAAGAGAGAGGGAAGGGGGAGGAAAUAGCCGUUGGGAAUGGAGUGUUGUUGGAUGAGCUUUGUGAAGUGUGGGAAGAGAAAGAUACUAGAGGAGACCGAGACAAAUGGAUAGGUGAAGAAACAGAAUUUUAGUAAGUGGUGCUGUAUGCUAUAUAUGUGGAUUUGCCUCAAAGUUUUAAAAAAUGGCAAGCAGAAA
rnacentral:lncRNA from 1 species